ACCUGAUUGAUUUUGGUCGCCAACGAGUGGCGGACGGGUGAGUAACACGUAGGUAACCUGCCCAGAAGCGGGGGACAACAUUUGGAAACAGAUGCUAAUACCGCAUAACAGCGUUGUUCGCAUGAACAACGCUUAAAAGAUGGCUUCUCGCUAUCACUUCUGGAUGGACCUGCGGUGCAUUAGCUUGUUGGUGGGGUAACGGCCUACCAAGGCGAUGAUGCAUAGCCGAGUUGAGAGACUGAUCGGCCACAAUGGGACUGAGACACGGCCCAUACUCCUACGGGAGGCAGCAGUAGGGAAUCUUCCACAAUGGGCGCAAGCCUGAUGGAGCAACACCGCGUGAGUGAAGAAGGGUUUCGGCUCGUAAAGCUCUGUUGUUAAAGAAGAACACGUAUGAGAGUAACUGUUCAUACGUUGACGGUAUUUAACCAGAAAGUCACGGCUAACUACGUGCCAGCAGCCGCGGUAAUACGUAGGUGGCAAGCGUUAUCCGGAUUUAUUGGGCGUAAAGAGAGUGCAGGCGGUUUUCUAAGUCUGAUGUGAAAGCCUUCGGCUUAACCGGAGAAGUGCAUCGGAAACUGGAUAACUUGAGUGCAGAAGAGGGUAGUGGAACUCCAUGUGUAGCGGUGGAAUGCGUAGAUAUAUGGAAGAACACCAGUGGCGAAGGCGGCUACCUGGUCUGCAACUGACGCUGAGACUCGAAAGCAUGGGUAGCGAACAGGAUUAGAUACCCUGGUAGUCCAUGCCGUAAACGAUGAGUGCUAGGUGUUGGAGGGUUUCCGCCCUUCAGUGCCGGAGCUAACGCAUUAAGCACUCCGCCUGGGGAGUACGACCGCAAGGUUGAAACUCAAAGGAAUUGACGGGGGCCCGCACAAGCGGUGGAGCAUGUGGUUUAAUUCGAAGCUACGCGAAGAACCUUACCAGGUCUUGACAUCUUGCGCCAACCCUAGAGAUAGGGCGUUUCCUUCGGGAACGCAAUGACAGGUGGUGCAUGGUCGUCGUCAGCUCGUGUCGUGAGAUGUUGGGUUAAGUCCCGCAACGAGCGCAACCCUUGUUACUAGUUGCCAGCAUUAAGUUGGGCACUCUAGUGAGACUGCCGGUGACAAACCGGAGGAAGGUGGGGACGACGUCAGAUCAUCAUGCCCCUUAUGACCUGGGCUACACACGUGCUACAAUGGACGGUACAACGAGUCGCGAACUCGCGAGGGCAAGCAAAUCUCUUAAAACCGUUCUCAGUUCGGACUGCAGGCUGCAACUCGCCUGCACGAAGUCGGAAUCGCUAGUAAUCGCGGAUCAGCAUGCCGCGGUGAAUACGUUCCCGGGCCUUGUACACACCGCCCGUCACACCAUGAGAGUUUG
rnacentral:rRNA from 2 species